GAUGAACGCUAGCGGCAGGCCUAAUACAUGCAAGUCGGACGGGAUUUGGGAGCUUGCUCCCAAUGAGAGUGGCGCACGGGUGCGUAACACGUAUGUAACCUACCUUAAUCAGGGGGAUAGCCUCUCGAAAGAGAGAUUAACACCGCAUAAUAUAUUUGUAUGGCAUCGUAGAAAUAUCAAAUAUGUAUAGGAUUAAGAUGGGCAUGCGGAACAUUAGCUAGUGGGUAAGGUAACGGCUUACCAAGGCUACGAUGUUUAGGGGAUCUGAGAGGAUGACCCCCCACACUGGUACUGAGACACGGACCAGACUCCUACGGGAGGCAGCAGUAAGGAAUAUUGGUCAAUGGGCGCAAGCCUGAACCAGCCAUGCCGCGUGCAGGAAGACGGCCCUAUGGGUUGUAAACUGCUUUUGUACCGGAAUAAACCCUUUUACGUGUAAAAGGCUGAAUGUACGGUAAGAAUAAGGAUCGGCUAACUCCGUGCCAGCAGCCGCAGUAA
rnacentral:rRNA from 1 species